GUAGGGAAUAUUGGGCAAUGGACGAAAGUCUGACCCAGCCACGCCGCGUGAAGGAUGAAUGCCCUAUGGGUUGUAAACUUCUUUUGUAUGGGAAGAAAAUUCCGAACGUGUUCGGAGCUGACGGUACCAUAAGAAUAAGCAUCGGCUAACUCCGUGCCAGCAGCCGCGGUAAUACGGAGGAUGCAAGCGUUGUCCGGAUUCAUUGGGUUUAAAGGGUGCGUAGGCGGAGAAUUAAGUCAGUGGUGAAAGCUUACAGCUUAACUGUAAAAAUGCCAUUGAAACUGAUUUUCUUGAGUUCGAUUGAGGUAGAUGGAAUGUAUCAUGUAGCGGUGAAAUGCUUAGAUAUGAUACAGAACACCAAUUGCGAAGGCAGUCUACUAAGUCGAUACUGACGCUGAGGCACGAAAGCAUGGGGAGCAAACAGGAUUAGAAACCCUGGUAGUCC
rnacentral:rRNA from 1 species